AUGCAUUUAUGUCCAACAUUUUUAUAAUUUAUGGAUGAUUCUGGAUGACUAUGAGCUUGUCCUUCUUUUCUACUUUGAUAGUAGAUCAAGAUGUAAUGUCUACCUACUAAGGCAACUCCAUGCAACCUACUGAUUGCCACAUUUCCUGCCAUUAUGAUCCUUUGGUUUGGUUUUGUUAAAAACAACAACAACAACUUCCCAGACAUUCAGUUUUACCAAUGAAGACUGAGGAGGCUGAUGAAGUUGUGAAUGCCUUCAAGACCAGAGAGGCAGAGAAAGAACCAAGCUUAACUUCCUCAACUGACUUUCCAGAGGAAAAGGGCCCUUUCCCCUCCUCCAAACUGUGCUAAAUACUCUUCAACUAAUGCCUUUCCUUUCCACAUCCUGUGUUCAUUUCCUCUCAACUGGCAACUUGCUUACAUAUUAACCUAUGGUCUACUUUAUUUACUCCUGUUUACAGAAAGCUCUUACUUAGUAUUAAAGUUGUAUGCUAGAGCUGAGCCACAGCACAACAAGAAACAAGUAUUUUUCACAAUCUUGAGGUUCACCAUGUGAUUGAAUAUCCUCCAACAAUGGCCACAAACACUUAUUGUAUUUACCUUGAAAGUAUAAGUCCCCAAUAAACAUUUCUUUAUGUUGCU